rnacentral:snoRNA from 1 species
CACCUCAUAAAGCACUUUGCACAGCUGGUCUUGGUGUUCAUACAAGGCGGGAAAGUGAUACUGAAGCUGGUCUCCCCGCAUUGCAGCUUGGCAUUAGCUUGUGGGCUAGUUUCAGACAGAA